rnacentral:misc_RNA from 1 species
AAGUCGUAACAAGGUUUCCGUAGGUGAACCUGCGGAAGGAUCAUUACCAAAUCCAAAUUACUUAACCCCAUGUGAACUAUUGUUUUAGUCUGUCUUUGGGAGAAACUUCUUUUUUUUUUAAGUGUUUCGUUGACACGCGAUUAAAAUAGUUUCUCCCAAUAGAGUCCGGCAUAACUGUAUGGUUGUGUCCAGAUUCGAAAAACACCCACUAUUAAACCACUUGAUUUAUCUGUUGGAAUUUUUUUUAUUAAAUUAUCAAUAAAAGACAACUUUUAACGGCGGAUCUCUUGGCUCGU